rnacentral:rRNA from 1 species
UACAGAGGGGGCAAGCGUUGUUCGGAAUUACUGGGCGUAAAGGGCGCGUAGGCGGCCUUCUAAGUCGAACGUGAAAUCCCCGGGCUCAACCCGGGAACUGCGUCCGGUACUGGAAGGCUUGAAUCCGGGAGAGGGAUGCGGAAUUCCAGGUGUAGCGGUGAAAUGCGUAGAUAUCUGGAGGAACACCGGUGGCGAAGGCGGCAUCCUGGACCGGUAUUGACGCUGAGGCGCGAAAGCCAGGGGAGCAAACGGG